rnacentral:rRNA from 1 species
GAUGAACGCUGGCGGCGUGCCUAACACAUGCAAGUCGAACGGUGAACGAGGGAGCUUGCUCCCUCCGGAUCAGUGGCGAACGGGUGAGUAACACGUGAGCAAUCUGCCCUGGACUCUGGGAUAAGCGUUGGAAACGACGUCUAAUACCGGAUACGAGGCGUGGGGGCAUCCCCAACGCCUGGAAAGAACUUCGGUCCAGGAUGAGCUCGCGGCCUAUCAGCUAGUUGGUGAGGUAACGGCUCACCAAGGCGACGACGGGUAGCCGGCCUGAGAGGGUGACCGGCCACACUGGGACUGAGACACGGCCCAGACUCCUACGGGAGGCAGCAGUGGGGAAUAUUGCACAAUGGGCACAAGCCUGAUGCAGCAACGCCGCGUGAGGGACGACGGCCUUCGGGUUGUAAACCUCUUUUAGCAGGGAAGAAGCGAAAGUGACGGUACCUGCAGAAAAAGCACCGGCUAACUACGUGCCAGCCGCCGCCGUAACAC